rnacentral:rRNA from 2 species
UGGCUCAGGAUGAACGCUGGCGGCGUGCCUAAUACAUGCAAGUCGAGCGAACUGAUUAGAAGCUUGCUUCUAUGACGUUAGCGGCGGACGGGUGAGUAACACGUGGGCAACCUGCCUGUAAGACUGGGAUAACUUCGGGAAACCGAAGCUAAUACCGGAUAGGAUCUUCUCCUUCAUGGGAGAUGAUUGAAAGAUGGUUUCGGCUAUCACUUACAGAUGGGCCCGCGGUGCAUUAGCUAGUUGGUGAGGUAACGGCUCACCAAGGCAACGAUGCAUAGCCGACCUGAGAGGGUGAUCGGCCACACUGGGACUGAGACACGGCCCAGACUCCUACGGGAGGCAGCAGUAGGGAAUCUUCCGCAAUGGACGAAAGUCUGACGGAGCAACGCCGCGUGAGUGAUGAAGGCUUUCGGGUCGUAAAACUCUGUUGUUAGGGAAGAACAAGUACAAGAGUAACUGCUUGUACCUUGACGGUACCUAACCAGAAAGCCACGGCUAACUACGUGCCAGCAGCCGCGGUAAUACGUAGGUGGCAAGCGUUAUCCGGAAUUAUUGGGCGUAAAGCGCGCGCAGGCGGUUUCUUAAGUCUGAUGUGAAAGCCCACGGCUCAACCGUGGAGGGUCAUUGGAAACUGGGGAACUUGAGUGCAGAAGAGAAAAGCGGAAUUCCACGUGUAGCGGUGAAAUGCGUAGAGAUGUGGAGGAACACCAGUGGCGAAGGCGGCUUUUUGGUCUGUAACUGACGC